rnacentral:rRNA from 1 species
UACGUAGGGUGCGAGCGUUGUCCGGAAUUAUUGGGCGUAAAGAGCUCGUAGGCGGUUUGUCGCGUCUGCUGUGAAAACCCGAGGCUCAACCUCGGGCCUGCAGUGGGUACGGGCAGACUAGAGUGCGGUAGGGGAGAUUGGAAUUCCUGGUGUAGCGGUGGAAUGCGCAGAUACCAGGAGGAACACCAAUGGCGAAGGCAGAUCUCUGGGCCGUAACUGACGCUGAGGAGCGAAAGCAUGGGGAGCGAACAGG